rnacentral:rRNA from 1 species
UACGUAGGGUGCAAGCGUUGUCCGGAAUUAUUGGGCGUAAAGAGCUCGUAGGCGACUUGUCGCGUCGGCUGUGAAAACCUGGGGCUCAACCCCGGGCCUGCAGCCGAUACGGGCAAGCUAGAAUUCGGUAGGGGAGACUGGAAUUCCUGGUGUAGCGGUGAAAUGCGCAGAUAUCAGGAAGAACACCCGUGGCGAAGGCGGCUCUCUGGGACGGUACUGACGCUGAGACGCGAAAGCGUGGGGAGCGAACAGG